rnacentral:rRNA from 1 species
GACGAACGCUGGCGGCGUGCCUAAUACAUGCAAGUAGAACGCUGAAGAGAGGAGCUUGCUCUUCUUGGAUGAGUUGCGAACGGGUGAGUAACGCGUAGGUAACCUGCCUGGUAGCGGGGGAUAACUAUUGGAAACGAUAGCUAAUACCGCAUGAUAUUAAUUGUUGCAUGAUAAUUAAUUGAAAGAUGCAAUUGCAUCACUACCAGAUGGACCUGCGUUGUAUUAGCUAGUUGGUGAGGUAACGGCUCACCAAGGCGACGAUACAUAGCCGACCUGAGAGGGUGAUCGGCCACACUGGGACUGAGACACGGCCCAGACUCCUACGGGAGGCAGCAGUAGGGAAUCUUCGGCAAUGGGGGGAACCCUGACCGAGCAACGCCGCGUGAGUGAAGAAGGUUUUCGGAUCGUAAAGCUCUGUUGUAAGAGAAGAACGAGUGUGAGAGUGGAAAGUUCACACUGUGACGGUAUCUUACCAGAAAGGGACGGCUAACUACGUGCCAGCAGCCGCGGUAAUACGUAGGUCCCGAGCGUUGUCCGGAUUUAUUGGGCGUAAAGCGAGCGCAGGCGGUUAGAUAAGUCUGAAGUUAAAGGCUGUGGCUUAACCAUAGUAUGCUUUGGAAGCUGUUUAACUUGAGUGCAGAAGGGGAGAGUGGAAUUCCAUGUGUAGCGGUGAAAUGCGUAGAUAUAUGGAGGAACACCGGUGGCGAAAGCGGCUCUCUGGUCUGUAACUGACGCUGAGGCUCGAAAGCGUGGGGAGCAAACAGGAUUAGAUAUCCUGGUAGUCCACGCCGUAAACGAUGAGUGCUAGGUGUUAGGCCCUUUCCGGGGCUUAGUGCCGCAGCUAACGCAUUAAGCACUCCGCCUGGAGAGUACGACCGCAAGGUUGAAACUCAAAGGAAUUGACGGGGGCCCGCACAAGCGGUGGAGCAUGUGGCUUAAUUCGAAGCAACGCGAAGAACCUUACCAGGUCUUGACAUCCCUCUGACCGCUCUAGAGAUAGAGUUUUCCUUCGGGACAGAGGUGACAGGUGGUGCAUGGUUGUCGUCAGCUCGUGUCGUGAGAUGUUGGGUUAAGUCCCGCAACGAGCGCAACCCCUAUUGUUAGUUGCCAUCAUUGAGUUGGGCACUCUAGCGAGACUGCCGGUAAUAAACCGGAGGAAGGUGGGGAUGACGUCAAAUCAUCAUGCCCCUUAUGACCUGGGCUACACAUGUGCUACAAUGGCUGGUACAACGAGUCGCAAGCCGGUGACGGCAAGCUAAUCUCUGAAAGCCAGUCUCAGUUCGGAUUGUAGGCUGCAACUCGCCUACAUGAAGUCGGAAUCGCUAGUAAUCGCGGAUCAGCACGCCGCGGUGAAUACGUUCCCGGGCCU